UAGCAACCAAUGAAUUGCUUGCUUAUGCUAGUGACUGACAUUUGCUGACAGAAAUUGCUUCCUCAAAGCAACAAACAGAUUUCAAAGUUUCGAGUACACGGUUCGUUGCGUUAUAAGCCCAGGGUGAGAAACAAGCCUGGACGUGUUAGCCAAUGAUGCAUUAAAGUCAUUAAAUAACAAAUUUGAUUGAAAGCGCUUUAAAACUUUCGCCCAAAAAUUUAUUGACUGGCUCACUUAAACUAGUACGUUUAAAGUCGCUUGGGAUAAACAAUAACUAGAUAACAGCGUUCACUGUAAAGGAACGAGGAGCGAUUAUCAUAUGCAUGAUGUCAUAAUCACAGACAAUGUAAGUGACCGGGAAUUUCGCACAUUGCAAAUUCUCUAUCAUAUGGCAGAAGCGUUUGGUGAAACUACCGACAGGCACAUUCCAUCGAUGCAGAAUACAGCAAUAGAUUUCCUGACUGAGUACGUGUUUUUCUCGACUGGAAGCAAAGACGGUUAUGUGACUGUAAGUACUGCGCCGGUGCCAAAGUGCAACCUGAAUUCUUUAAGACACUGCUCUCCGUUAAAAAGCUCAGAGUUUUGCGUGAAACAAAUCAGCAGCCCGGAAACAUAACAACAACAAAGGACGUGAAAGCAAGAUAUGACUUCUAGAAGUGAAGUGCUAGCGACACAAGCUAGUCGAAAUAUAUCUGAACAACAAGGAGGAAGCCACAUUUGAAGAACUUCUUUACAUCCUUAAAAGGACGCUACAAGCAACCGUAGUCCGACAAAAGAAGAUACAUUACAGUGAAACAAGUUAACACAUAAUCUUCUGUAACGGAGAUAAUUUACCAUUCGAUUGACAGUCGCCAUGUUGGCCCAUGUUAUUAUUAUUGUUAAGUUGGUCGGUGAUGGCGCCAUUGUUUCAGUGCGACUGCAUUUCGGGACACCAGGUGUACAUACCCAGUUAUAUCAAGGAGAAUUGGAAACUGAAAGAAAGGGCUGUAUUUCAGCCUUGUAAUGCGUAAAGCAAGGUUUUGUCUCCAGUUAACGAGCUGAACAGAAUCAAGAGUCAGGAAAACGGCCUGCAAAGUUUUGAUCUUGAAACGUCUGCUGUUAUUCUAAAGUAAUUGAAUCUUUAGCAUGGAAAACCCUCGGACACUUACUGAAAUCAGGACCCGACAAAGACCCGAGAGAGACCCGAGCAGGAUCCGAGCAGUUACUCGUCAACGUGAUGUUUAUAAUUACAUACUGAUGCAAGUGGACCAGGAGAACAGAGCAAUAAGAAACCAUAUACUUCAACAGGUAUGGUAACAAACCAAAACAUGACACCCCAUAACUAACGAAAAGGUUCUCCGUGCAACAUGCAGAUGAUAAGUUCAAUUCUCGGUCAGGAUAUACUGUAUGUAGGCAUACAAAUCAAAGCCUUUCUGAAAUUUCUACCGAGACUGCUUAGAAUAAAAAAACCCACUGUAUUACGCCUCUGUAUACUGGCUAUCUGUAAUUUUGACAUUCGUCUUGCACGUUAAUGGUAUUUUUACUAACAGAUCCUCAUAUCCACCGUUUCUCUCACGUCCCGCUUGACCAUUUCCCGAAAAGUACACAAAAUUCCACAU